UACGUAGGGGGCGAGCGUUGUCCGGAUUUAUUGGGCGUAAAGAGCGUGUAGGCGGCCAGGUAGGUCUGCUGUGAAAACUCGAGGCUCAACUUCCAGACGUCGACGGAAACCGUGUGGCUAGAGUCCGGAAGAGGAGAGUGGAAUUCCUGGUGUAGCGGUGAAAUGCGCAGAUAUCAGGAAGAACACCAAUGGCGAAGGCAGCUCUCUGGGACGGUACUGACGCUGAGACGCGAAAGCGUGGGGAGCGAACAGG
rnacentral:rRNA from 1 species